CAGAACGAACGCUGGCGGCGUGCUUAACACAUGCAAGUCGAACGCGAAAGGGACUUCGGUCCUGAGUAAAGUGGCGGCACGGGUGAGUAACGCGUAGAUAACCUGUCUUCAUGGUCUGGAAUAAUACGCCGAAAGGGGUACUAAUACCGGAUAUUCUUGCUUUUCAUAAGUUAUGCAAGCAAAGGUGGCCUCUGCAUAUGCUACUGCAUGAAGAGGGGUCUGCGUACCGAUUAGCUAGUAGGUGGGGUAAUGGCCUACCUAGGCGACGAUGGUUAGCGGGUCUGAGAGGAUGAUCCGCCACACUGGCACUGGAACACGGGCCAGACUCCUACGGGAGGCAGCAGUGAGGAAUAUUGCGCAAUGGGGGAAACCCUGACGCAGCGACGCCGCGUGAAGUGAGGAAGGCCUUCGGGUCGUAAAGCUCUGUCAAGAGGAAAGAAGUGUACAAUGGCUAAUACCUGUUGUAUUUGACGGUACCUCUAAAGGAAGCACCGGCUAACUCCGUGCCAGCCGCAGC
rnacentral:rRNA from 1 species